rnacentral:tRNA from 1 species
CGAAAUCUAUUGGUUUGCCUUGGUCCUGCUAAGUCCAAAGGUCUGCGGUUCAACUCCGUUGAGUUUUCG